CCUACGGGGGGCUGCAGUAACGAAUCUUCCCCAAUGCACGCAAGUGUGAGGGAGCGACGCCGCGUGGAGGACGAAGUUCUUCGGAAUGUAAACUCCUGUCAGGGGUUAGAAAGUUCUGAUCAACCCCAGAGGAAGAGGCGGCUAACUCUGUGCCAGCAGCCGCGGUAAUACAGAGGCCUCAAGCGUUAGGCGGAAUCACUGGGCUUAAAGCGUGUGUAGGCGGAUGCCUAAGUGCCUUGUGAAAUCCCACGGCUCAACCGUGGAACUGCUGGGCAUACUGGGUGUCUUGAGCCAUCCAGGGGUCGCUGGAACAAACGGUGGAGCGGUGAAAUGCGUAGAUAUCGUUUGGAACGCCAAAGGUGAAGACAGGCGACUGGGGAUGUGCUGACGCUGAGACACGAAAGCCAGGGGAGCAAACGGGAUUAGAUACCCCGGUAGUC
rnacentral:rRNA from 1 species